rfam:Glycine soja cultivar W05 scaffold55_45, whole genome shotgun sequence.
UUUUUAUUGGAUAACAACUGUCACGUGUCAUGUUCUGAUUGGAUAUCAAUUCAAUGAAAGAUGAAAUGCUUAUUUGCAUUGACCAAUCAAAAUAUACGUGACAAUUGUCAUCC